rfam:Oryza punctata chromosome 3, whole genome shotgun sequence.
UCUAAGAGUAGCUCUAUAGUUUCCGUCUCCAACUUUAAUCAUCCGUUUUAUUUAAAUUUUUUUAGAUUAGUAUUUUUAUUAUUAUUAGAUGAUAAAACAUAAAUAGUACUUUAUGUGUGAUUUAUGUUUUUUAUUUUUUUAAAUAAAAUAGAUGAUUAAAGUUGGAUAAAUGUGUUUAAA